GUCAGUGUGGCAUAGUGGCUUGAGUGUUGGACUAUAACCCUAGAGAAUAGGGUUCAAUUCCCUGCUCAGCCA